GUGGGGAAUAUUGGACAAUGGGGGCAACCCUGAUCCAGCCAUGCCGCGUGAAUGAUGAAGGCCUUCGGGUUGUAAAGUUCUUUUGGUGGGGACGAUGAUGACGGUACCCACAGAAUAAGCUCCGGCUAACUUCGUGCCAGCAGCCGCGGUAAUGCGAAGGGAGCUAGCGUUGUUCGGAAUUACUGGGCGUAAAGGGCGCGUAGGCGGUUUGACAAGUCAGAUGUGAAAGCCCUGGGCUUAACCCGGGAACUGCGUUUGAUACUGUCGUGGUUGAAGUCGGGGGAGGGGAGUGGAAUUCCCAGUGUAGAGGUGAAAUUCGUAAAUAUUGGGAAGAACACCGGUGGCGAAGGCGGCUCACUGGACCGACAUUGACGCUGAGGCGCGAAAGCGUGGGUAGCAAACAGGAUUAGAAACCCGAGUAGUCC
rnacentral:rRNA from 1 species